GGCCGACUAGCUCAGCUGGUUAGAGCGUCGUGCUAAUAUAGGGUGAUUUUUGAAGAUGAUUGCUGAGUCGUUAUUAACGCGAAGGUCUUGGGUUUGAUCCCCACGUUGGCCA